rnacentral:tRNA from 1 species
ACGCCCAUAGCUCAGAUGGAUCAGAGCAAGAGCCUUCUAAGCUCUAGGUCGGGAGUUCGAGCCUCCCUGGGCGUA